CAGCAGCCGCGGGAAUACGAAGGGUGCAAGCGUUACUCGGAAUUACUGGGCGUAAAGCGUGUGUAGGUGGUUGUUUAAGUCUGUCGUGAAAGCCCUGGGCUCAACCUGGGAAUUGCGAUGGAUACUGGGCGACUAGAGUGCGGUAGAGGAUAGUGGAAUUUCCGGUGUAGCAGUGAAAUGCGUAGAGACCGGAAGGAACAUCUGUGGCGAAGGCGACUAUCUGGGCCAACACUGACACUGAGACACGAAAGCGUGGGGAGCAAACAGGAUUAGAUACCCCCGUAGUCCCUGUCUCUUAUAC
rnacentral:rRNA from 1 species